GGAAGGGCCAGCCGAUAGGCGCCGGCGCCGGUCUUGAAAAUCGAGUGCCCCGAAAGGGGCGUGCGGGUUCGACUCCCGCCCCUUCCGCCA
rnacentral:tRNA from 3 species